rnacentral:pre_miRNA from 1 species
UAGCGUCAUUGUAUGGAGUUGAAACGUUCGCCUACGUUUUCCGCUAGGGGCGCUGUUCCAACUGCAUACAAGAUUCGGUUA